GGACCCGCACAAGCGGUGGAGCAUGUGGUUUAAUUCGAAGCAACGCGAAGAACCUUACCAAAUCUUGACAUCCUUUGAAAACUCUAGAGAUAGAGCCUUCCCCUUCGGGGGACAAAGUGACAGGUGGUGCAUGGUUGUCGUCAGCUCGUGUCGUGAGAUGUUGGGUUAAGUCCCGCAACGAGCGCAACCCUUAAGCUUAGUUGCCAUCAUUAAGUUGGGCACUCUAACGAGACUGCCGGUGAUAAACCGGAGGAAGGUGGGG
rnacentral:rRNA from 1 species